rnacentral:rRNA from 1 species
CGCCCUUCAGAGGGGGACAACAGUUGGAAACGACUGCUAAUACCGCAUACGAUCUGACCUCGGCAUCGAGGAUGGAUGAAAGGUGGCCUCUAUUUAUAAGCUAUCACUGAAGGAGGGGAUUGCGUCUGAUUAGCUAGUUGGAGGGGUAACGGCCCACCAAGGCGAUGAUCAGUAGCCGGUCUGAGAGGAUGAACGGCCACAUUGGGACUGAGACACGGCCCAG